rnacentral:misc_RNA from 1 species
AUCUUGUUGAGGAGAAGAAAAUGGAAGCAACUAGAAUGGGAUCAUCACUCCUGUUGAUGUUUUGUUUUAGCGAUAGGAAUUCUUGCAGGAAAUCCACGGCUUGUUUUGGGGAUUGCUACAGAACUUGCUUCUUUGAAUGUAUUGCAGAAAGCCCACCUAGCAAAUGUGCUUUGAAGUGUUUAAAGGAUUGCAUAAUUGACCACAGCCUAUCAGCUGCCAACAAACCAAAUACCCAUUACUCCUUCUGCAAGCUUGGUUGCAGUUUCUUCCUGUGUGAAAAUAUCAGCUCUAAAGAAAACCCAAGUUAAGACAAGGUGGAAAGCUGUGUGGAUCUUUGCUCUGGGGCAUGCGCCAAAAAUUACAGGGCAUGAUGAGCUGUUAGCACUCUCUAGGUGUUAUUUAUUAUAUGCUAAUAAUACUGAUUAAUUAAUGAAUAAUAAAGCCUCAUGCAUUGG